rnacentral:lncRNA from 1 species
GAGCGUGUCUCUCUAUAUAUCGUCCGCGUCAGCCGAUUGCGACGCACUGGUGGACUGAUUUUUGUACGUUAUCUUUCCGUUUUUUUAUUUUAUUUUUUUAAUUUUCUUUUUUUGGGGGUGGGUUACUGGGAUCGAGUUGGGGAAAGGGACUAAAAAGUAAGAGGAGGGUGAAAUGAUGUCGUAAAUAAUGAAUGAAAUUAAAAUAAAGGUAAAGGGGAGGUGGUUUAAAGCGCCGUUGUGGCGGGUCUUGAAAGCAGCCGACUGGCCAUCAAGCCCACCAAGGGAUGCUGGACCCGGUUUUUAUUUUUUAUUUUUGGGCUUUGCUUCUUCAAUUUAUGACUUGUUUCUUAUUCCUCCCCCACUAUAUCACUGAUUAUCCCCCUUCUUUUUUCUUUUUUUUUGCUUUAGUUAAAAGAAAAAAAUGAAAUGUACAAGUUUCCUGUUUGGUUUAUGCUAAUGUCUCGUAAAAUGCAUAAAAAUGAAACUUUCUCUUUCCGAGGAGGGCCGCUGUCCGUGUAACAAAUUUGAUUCACGACGGGAAAGAGAGAAUGAGGGAAAAAAAAAGGAGCUAGUCUCAACGCUAGUCAACAAAACGACGGGCAGCCCAUUCAACAACUCGUCGUUUGUUUUCUAACGCAAAUUAUGGAUUUCUUCUUUUUCUCACAGUCACCGCCGCAGUUUUUUUCUUUUUUUCUUUUGAAUAGUAUAGUUAUUUAUUUGAUGCCGGCCACGAUGAUUUGGCUGAAACAUCAACUCGAAAAAGAAAAAGAAAAAGAAAAAGAAAAAGACGAAUGAUUUAUAUUUGCCCAUUUUUCUUUAUUUCUUUGCCCGCAGUCUUUUGUCUUGUUCGAUCGUUUUUCUCCCGCUGUGCUGCCCAGUCAUUUUGCGCGCUAGACGUUCUAUUACUCUAUUAGGACAUUUUUUAUUAUUUUUUUUUUUUGAAAUUUCCCCCAAGGAAUGCCGCAUUCUAUGCCCUAGUUUGGCCAUUUGCUGUGCAAAAGGAUUCAUCAUUUCUUUUUUGGUUUUUUUCUUCGUUUCUCUAACGGUUGAAAUGAAAGACGGUGGCGGAUGUUGUCUAGUGCUGGCCAUCCAUCUUCUACGUGAAUGUACACAUCGACUUUAUUUCGUUUUUUUCUUCCUUCGUUGUGCCCGUCCCGAUGAUGGAUGGACGCACGAAAUUGAACCUUUUCCCGUCCGGGGGUAUAGGAGGGGGGUGUCUACACCAAAACACAUCCGUCUCUCUCUUUCUACUUCUUUCUACUUCUUUCUACUUCUUUCUACGGGUGUUGUAUGCGACUAUCGAGCCGGAUCGACUGGAAUCUGCGACUCGUCCUAUACAAAGCGAUUAGCAUUUUCGUCGUUAUAGAUGGAGACUAUAGUGAACCCAAAAAUGACUAUACGUGUAACAACCGUGAACAAAAAAUAAAAAGGAAACAUUGACGCUUCAAACAGGGAAAUACAUUUGAUAGGGACGCCAACAUUUCCCCCCACCACCACGGCACCACCACCACCACUCUGUCGGUGUCGUUGAUCCGUAUACGCAAACUUCCUGCUUGUCCGCAGGAGACGGACGAGGGGCUAUCCAAUGUGUCGCGUGGUGCCAUAAAACAAAUUCUGCUUGCAGUUUGGCCAGUCUACAAUUUUUUUCGUGUUCUCUUCAUAUCAAAAAAUAAGAAAAGGCGGCGACAAGGAAGAGACAAUAUGGCGAUGACACGUUGGUGCUAGUUGCACGUGGCGCCCUUUAGCCACAAGUUUUCUAGCCCAUCACCGACGUCUCUCUCUAUUUCUUAAUGCUAUUCACGGAAAAUCAAAGGCUAUGAGGCAAAGCAAUAAUCGUAAAAAAGCGAAAUGAAAAACAAAAAAAAGUCGUAAAAAUCUCGAGGGUCGGCUGCCGCUGAAAGAAAACCAAAGAUUUAUAGCCCCCAAUAGAUUUCCCCAUCAGCUUAUGAUAUAGUCGACGACGCCGUUCAUAUUUGCGCCUAUCGUUUCUUGGCCAUUUCUUUUCAUGGGCGAGUGGGGGGGAGAGGCCAACAGAUUUGUGUACAAGAGAAGAAAGACGGUUGCUGCAACCAUUAGAGGAAGACAUGGACUUGAAGAAGCGGCAUGUCUAUGCACUUCUGCUUUGACUCCCAUCUCACCCUCCACACUUGUACACACACAGACAGAGAGGCCAAGUUGACGGCGGCAGUUGAAACGAUGUUGUAUAUACAUGGCGGCGUUUAGCCCAUCAAGUAGAGAGACUCUUUCUCUCUGUGUGUGUGUGUGCCUAUGUGUUUUGCUGCUGGUCGUUGGCCCAUUAGCCGCAAAGUGUCUGCCGACGAGCCCAUCACCAAAACAGGACGUUGACUGCCACCCCUCGUUUUUUUCUUUUUCUUUUUCGUACUAAAAGUUACACGUCAGAAAAAGGGGGAAAAAAUGGUUGGUUGAAACCACGCCCUUUGGACUUGAUUCUUUGGUAUGGGGAGGAGUACCAAUAAGACAUCAAUCGAAUUGGGAAACAACGAGAGGGAGGGAGGAAUUUUUCGAAUAAUCAAAUCCAAGAUUUUUUCAUUUUUUCUGGCCGGUUACGUAUCAAUGAAAUGUAUCAUUUCAAAUCGUGACCUGUUUGGUUAUUCUUAUUUAUCUCUGGGAGAAACGUAACGAAAGGCGGGAUGACGAAGCGCAACGAACAGCAUUUAAAAAAAAGUGGGGGGAGGGAGGAAGAAGGGACCGACUGGAGAGAGAGAGAGAGAGAAAAACGUAAAUCAUGUGGUGUGGUGAGCGGAAGAAAAGAAGAGGCGAGUGAAUGGCGGCGGCAAGCAGCCGACAACAGCCCAUUUACACGCACGUAACAUAAACAUCUAGUCAACUCUAUAGUCCAUGUUAGCCCCAUGAAAAACGGCUACCAGUAACAUGGUCGUUUGCCUGCUCGGCAUUUCCCUCCGCUUUUCUUUUCCCAACUUGUGUCUGUGCGCCUGUGUAUAAAUAAUCGUAAUCUAUGUGGCCAGCUUAACAGCUCGACAGGGGCACACACAUAACGCUGGCAGUAUAUUCAACAAGAAAAAGGGACGGAUGAUAAACCAUCGUUUCUCUCUUUCUGCCAUGCCACCCGUCGUCGUCAUUCAUCUGCGAAAGCCUCUCCUUCCUCUUUGCCAGUCGUCUGAAAUGGCCACCAAACACGGCAGAUUUGCUCCUUUCUUCUUUUUCUUGUUGUUGUCUUUUCGUUUACGACCCGACUGCCUAUCGCACGAACUGCUCAUUCGUCUUUGAAUUUCUUUGGCCUAGGAAACUGUGACCCAUCGUCAGGACGAGGGAUUUCCCGCACAACCUACGCACAACAUGUCAAUUGUGUGUGUCCACAUUUGAUUUCCUCUCGUGUCUUUUACACCGUGUGUCUGAGUGUAGGCACACACACACACACACACGCAGGAUAGAUAUGGAAGGAAAAACACUUGGGCAUGGAUUAAAGAAAAGGGAAAUUUCUUUAGCGACCGUUUCAUCAUCGUUUUGCGCGUCAGCAGCUCCUUAUCGCCAUCGUAAAUGUUUCUUUCCUUGUGUGUUGUGCGGUGCGCCGCCUUUUGAGAAACGUUGCGGAUGUGCGGAAGAAGGAGGAGAUAAUGUUGUACCGUGUCAUUAUUUCAAGACAAGUCGUUUUUGCUUGUGAAAAUGGCGACUAAGUAUACAGACGACAUUGUUCUUUCUUUUCCGACUUUUUUUCUGGUUGAAUUCACUGGAAAUUGUUAGUCCAUAUGUC